GGUAAUAUGUCUGAUUAAAGUAAUAGCUUGUAAAUCUAUUUAAGAAAUAUUUAAUUUCUAUUACCA
rnacentral:tRNA from 1 species